ACUGGGCACAGUAGCACAUGCCUGUAGUCCCAGCUACUCAGGAGGCUGAGACAGGAGGAUCGCUUGAGUCCAGGAGUUCUGGGCUGUAGUGCGCUAUGUCCAUUGGGUGUCCAUACUAAGUUCAGCAUCAAUAUGGUGACCUCCCAGGAGGUCAGGGGGCCACCAGGUUGCCUAAGGAGGGGUGAAUGGGCCCAGCUCUGAAAUGGAGCAGGUCAAAGCUACCAUGCUGAUCAGUAGUGGGAUUGUGCCUGUGCGGUCACUGCACUCCAGCCUGGGCAACAUAGUGAGACCCUGGUAU
rfam:Otolemur garnettii contig061848, whole genome shotgun sequence.